UCCCAGAACCUUUUUUUUUUUUUUGCUUACAACUCUCGAGUUUUUUGUAGUCUGUCUUUUAAAUGUGGAGGAAUUGCUUUUUACCAACAACUGGACGGCAUAUCAGGAGAGUGGAAUAUGGGGGCAAAAGGACAAGAAAGACAAAAAAGACUCCCAGGGAGGAGAGACUCCGCCUGCAGCGACUGCUUCACUCCGCAUGGGCCACCAUCUCUAUCUGGAUCACCUUUACUACAGUCACAGAUUUGUUUAUUCACUUCCUCUUCUUCCACUCCUGUCACCUCUCGAACCGGGCUCGCCCUCCCUAAAAUGCUUUGCUAAAGCUGGUAAAAUGGAACC